AGAGUUUGAUCCUGGCUCAGAGCGAACGUUAGCGGCGGGCCUAACACAUGCAAGUCGAACGAGAAUGUAGGCUUCGGUCUACUAGUAAAGUGGCAGACGGGUGCGUAACACGUGGGUAAUCUACCUUCCGGCGGGGGACAACAGUCCGAAAGGAUUGCUAAUACCGCGUACGUCAGCGGUGCCUACGGGCACUGUUGGGAAAGACGGCCUCUCCUUGGAAGCUGUCACCGGAAGAUGAGCCCGCGCCCCAUCAGCUAGUUGGUGAGGUAAUGGCUCACCAAGGCUUAGACGGGUAGCUGGUCUGAGAGGAUGAUCAGCCACACUGGGACUGCGACACGGCCCAGACUCCUACGGGAGGCAGCAGUGGGGAAUAUUGGGCAAUGGGCGCAAGCCUGACCCAGCCACGCCGCGUGAGUGAUGAAGGCCUUCGGGUCGUAAAGCUCUGUGGGGAGGGACGAACAAAUCUGGGGCUAAUCACCCGGAUCCUGACGGUACCUCCUAGCAAGAC
rnacentral:rRNA from 1 species